ACUCCUACGGGAGGCAGCAGUGGGGAAUAUUGGACAAUGGGCGCAAGCCUGAUCCAGCCAUGCCGCGUGAGUGAUGAAGGCCCUAGGGUUGUAAAGCUCUUUCACCGGUGAAGAUAAUGACGGUAACCGGAGAAGAAGCCCCGGCUAACUUCGUGCCAGCAGCCGCGGUAAUACGAAGGGGGCUAGCGUUGUUCGGAUUUACUGGGCGUAAAGCGCACGUAGGCGGACUAUUAAGUCAGGGGUGAAAUCCCGGGGCUCAACCCCGGAACUGCCUUUGAUACUGGUAGUCUUGAGUUCGAGAGAGGUGAGUGGAAUUCCGAGUGUAGAGGUGAAAUUCGUAGAUAUUCGGAGGAACACCAGUGGCGAAGGCGGCUCACCGGCUCGAUACUGACGCUGAGGUGCGAAAGCGUGGGGAGCAAACAGGAUUAGAAACCCGUGUAGUCCCAUG
rnacentral:rRNA from 1 species